UACAGAGGGUGCAAGCGUUAAUCGGAAUUACUGGGCGUAAAGCGCGCGUAGGCGGCUGAUUAAGUCGGGUGUGAAAGCCCGGGCUCAACCUGGGAACUGCAUUCGAUACUGAUCAGCGUAGAGUAUGAGAGAGGGAGGUAGAAUUCCGACGUGUAGCGGUGAAAUGCGUAGAUAUGUGGAGGAAUACCGGUGGCGAAGGCGGCCUCCUGGCUCAAUACUGACGCUGAGGUGCGAAAGCGUGGGGAGCGAACAGG
rnacentral:rRNA from 1 species